rnacentral:rRNA from 1 species
UACGGAAGGGGCUAGCGUUGCUCGGAAUCACUGGGCGUAAAGGGCGCGUAGGCGGCGUUUUUUAAGUCGGGGUGAAAGCCUGUGGACUCGAACCACAGAAUGGCCUUCGAUACUGGGACGCGUUGAGUAAUGGUAGAGGGUUGGUGGAAACUGCGAGUGUAGAGGUGAAAAUUCGUAGAUAUUCGCAGGAACACCAGUGGCGAAGGGCGGCUUGACUGGUCCAUUACGUGAACGCUGAGGUGGCGAAAGC